CUACGGGAGGCAGCAGUAGGGAAUAUUGGACAAUGGGCGAAAGCCUGAUCCAGCAACACCGCGUGCACGAUGACGGCCUUCGGGUUGUAAAGUGCUUUUAGAGGAGAUGAGAAAGGACAGUAUCCUCUGAAUAAGCCUCGGCGAACUACGUGCCAGCAGCCGCGGUAAAACGUAGGAGGCAAGCGUUAUCCGGAUUUAUUGGGCGUAAAGCGCGUGCAGGCGGUCUAGCAAGUUGGAUGUGAAAGCUCCCGGCUCAACUGGGAGAGGUCGCUCAAUACUGUUAGACUAGAGAAUAGGAGAGGGAGGUGGAAUUCCGGGUGUAGUGGUGAAAUGCGUAGAUAUCCGGAGGAACACCAGUGGCGAAAGCGGCCUCCUGGACUAUUUCUGACGCUAAGACGCGAAAGCUAGGGUAGCAAACGGGAUUAGAUACCCUGGUAGUC
rnacentral:rRNA from 1 species